AGACCCUUGACAGGGGAGGGACCUUUUCCUCCUGGGCGGAGGUUGCAGCAGGGACGAGGUUGGGUGGGACGCCGACAUGGCGACGGCUCUGCUAAUCUCCUGCGGCCGUACUGCCGUGCUCAAGACUUUUAAGUUGCAAGCAUGGGGGCUUCGAAGUGUACCUCCUGCUGUUUCUCUCUGCACCAAACCAGGGGGUGAUAAGAAAGUCUCCAAAAAAA